rnacentral:rRNA from 1 species
AUUAGCGGUCAUAGUUGAAGGGAAACACCUGGACUCAUUCCGAACCCAGAAGUUAAGCCUUUAAACGAUUUGGUUUGCACUGGAUUUUUAUUUGGAGCAUCCAAGACGCUGCUAAUC